rnacentral:rRNA from 1 species
AUUGAACGCUGGCGGCAUGCCUUACACCUGCGAGUCGAACGGUAACAGGUCUUCGGAUGCUGACGAGUGGCGAACGGGUGAGUAAUACAUCGGAACGUGCCCGAGAGUGGGGGAUAACGAGGCGAAAGCUUUGCUAAUACCGCAUACGAUCUCAGGAUGAAAGCAGGGGACCGCAAGGCCUUGCGCUCACGGAGCGGCCGAUGGCAGAUUAGGUAGUUGGUGGGAUAAAAGCUUACCAAGCCGACGAUCUGUAGCUGGUCUGAGAGGACGACCAGCCACACUGGGACUGAGACACGGCCCAGACUCCUACGGGAGGCAGCAGUGGGGAAUUUUGGACAAUGGGCGCAAGCCUGAUCCAGCCAUGCCGCGUGCAGGAUGAAGGCCUUCGGGUUGUAAACUGCUUUUGUACGGAACGAAAAGACUCUGGUUAAUACCUGGGGUCCAUGACGGUACCGUAAGAAUAAGCACCGGCUAACUACGUGCCAGCCGCCGCCGUAAUAC